UACGGAGGGUGCGAGCCGUUGUCCGGAAUCGACUGGGCGUAAAGGGCGCUAGGGCGGCCUGAUAAGUAGGGGGUGAAAUCCUGCGGCGUUAACCGCAGGGCUGCCUUCUAAACGUGGUCAGGCUGGAGCAGCAGUAGAAGGCAGGUGGGAAUUCCCGGUGGUAGCGGAUGAAUGCGCAGAUAUCGGGAAGAACACCCGUGGCGAAGGCGGUCUCUGGGACGGUACUGACGCUGGAGACGGAGAAAGCGUGGGGGAGGCAACAG
rnacentral:rRNA from 1 species